rnacentral:rRNA from 1 species
UACGUAGGCAGCGAGCGUUGUUCGGAGUUACUGGGCGUAAAGGGGUGUGUAGGCGGUUGUUUAAGUUUGGUGUGAAAUCUCCCGGCUCAACUGGGAGGGUGCGCCGAAUACUGAAUGACUAGAGUGCGGGAGAGGAUAGUGGAAUUCCGUGGUGUAGCGGUGAAAUGCGUAGAUAUCAGGAGGAACACCGGUGGUGUAGACGGCUACUCGUGGACCGUAACUGACGCUGAGACACGAAAGCGUGGGUAGCAAACAGG